rnacentral:rRNA from 1 species
GACGAACGCUGGCGGCGUGCCUAAUACAUGCAAGUAGAACGCUGAAGGAGGAGCUUGCUCUUCUGGAUGAGUUGCGAACGGGUGAGUAACGCGUAGGUAACCUGCCUGGUAGCGGGGGAUAACUAUUGGAAACGAUAGCUAAUACCGCAUAAGAGUAGAUGUUGCAUGACAUUUGCUUAAAAGGUGCAAUUGCAUCACUACCAGAUGGACCUGCGUUGUAUUAGCUAGUUGGUGGGGUAACGGCUCACCAAGGCGACGAUACAUAGCCGACCUGAGAGGGGAUUCGGCCACCUGGGGACUGAAAAACGGCCAAGACUCCUACGGGAGGCAGCAGGAGGGAAUCUUCGGAAAUGGGGGGAAGUCUAACCGGGCAACGCCGGGUGAGUGAAGAAGGUUUUGGGAUCGUAAAGCUCUUUUGUAAGAGAAGAACGGUUGUGGGAGGGGAAAGUUCCCACUGGGACGGUAUUUUACAAGAAAAGGACGGCUAACUACGG